rnacentral:tRNA from 1 species
UCCCUGCUGGCUCAGCAGAUAAAGAAUCUGUCUGCAAUGCAGGAGACCUGGGUUCGACCCCUGGGUUGGGAA